UGGCUAGCUCAAUUGGUUAGAGCAUGGUGCUGAUAACAUCAAGGUCUUGGGUCCAACCCCUAUACGGGACAG